UGUGUUCCGUGCAUAGAGUUAAAUGCUGAAUCUUGUCUCGUACCACAUCCUGGUAUCUAGAAACAAUAAAAACAUUGAAUAAAUAUUAAUAAUAAUUUAAU